UACAGAGGUGGCAAGCGUUGUUCGGAAUUACUGGGCGUAAAGAGCGUGUAGGCGGCCAGAAAAGUCCGCUGUGAAAACUCGAGGCUCAACUUCGAGCUGUCGGUGGAAACUUUCUGGCUAGAGUCCGGAAGAGGAAAGUGGAAUUCCUGGUGUAGCGGUGAAAUGCGCAGAUAUCAGGAAGAACACCCGUGGCGAAGGCGGCUUUCUGGGACGGUACUGACGCUGAGACGCGAAAGCGUGGGGAGCGAACAGG
rnacentral:rRNA from 1 species